UACGGAGGGGGCUAGCGUUGUCCGGAAUUAUUGGGCGUAAAGAGCUCGUAGGCGGUCUGUCGCGUCGAUCGUGAAAACUUGGGGCUUAACCCUGAGCUUGCGGUCGAUACGGGCAUGACUGGAGUUCGGCAGGGGAGACUGGAAUUCCUGGUGUAGCGGUGAAAUGCGCAGAUAUCAGGAGGAACACCGGUGGCGAAGGCGGGUCUCUGGGCCGAUACUGACGCUGAGGAGCGAAAGCGUGGGGAGCGAACAGG
rnacentral:rRNA from 1 species